rnacentral:rRNA from 1 species
UACGUAGGGGGCAAGCGUUGUCCGGAAUCAUUGGGCGUAAAGAGCGUGUAGGCGGCCCGAUAAGUCCGCUGUGAAAGUCCAGGGCUCAACCCUGGAAUGCCGGUGGAUACUGUCGGGCUCGAAUCCGAAAGAGGUGAGUGGAAUUCCUGGUGUAGCGGUGAAAUGCGCAGAUAUCAGGAGGAACACCAAUGGCGAAGGCAGCUCACUGGGACGGUAUUGACGCUGAGACGCGAAAGCGUGGGGAGCAAACAGG